UACGAAGGGGGCUAGCGUUGCUCGGAAUCACUGGGCGUAAAGCGCACGUAGGCGGACUCUUAAGUCGGUGGUGAAAUCCUGGAGCUCAACUCCAGAACUGCCUUCGAUACUGAGAGUCUUGAGUCCGGGAGAGGUGAGUGGAACUGCGAGUGUAGAGGUGAAAUUCGUAGAUAUUCGCAAGAACACCUAUGGCGAAGGCAGCACUCUGGGACGGUACUGACGCUGAGACGCGAAAGCGUGGGGAGCGAACAGG
rnacentral:rRNA from 1 species